UCUCUGGUGGUCUAGUGGUUAGGAUUAGGCACUGUCACUGCUCUGGCCCAGGUUCAAUCCCUGGUCUAGGAA
rnacentral:tRNA from 1 species